AUGGGUCCCGCUGCGCGGCUGGCAGCGCUGCUGGCGGUGCUGGCGCUCCAGGCAGGGGACCUGGCCGGGGUCGCGACGCGCGGGGACACGUUCUCGGCGCUGACCAGUGUGGCGCGCGCCCUGGCGCCCGAGCGCCGGCUGCUGGGACUGCUGCGGCGCUACCUGCGCGGGGAGGAGGCGCGGCUGCGGGAUCUGACCAGAUUCUAUGACAAGGUGCUAUCUUUGCAUGAAGAUUCAGCAACCCCUGUGUCUAACCCUCUGCUUGCAUUUACUCUCAUCAAACGCCUACAGUCCGACUGGAAGAAUGUGGUACAUAGUCUGGAGGCCAGUGAGAACAUCCGAGCUCUGAAGGAUGGUUAUGAGAAGGUGGAACAGGACCUGCCAGCCUUUGAGGACCUUGAGGGAGCAGCAAGGGCCCUGAUGCGGCUGCAGGACGUGUACAUGCUCAGUGUGAAGGGACUUGCCCGAGGCGUCUUCCAGAGAGUCACCGGCUGUGCUGUCACUGACCUGUACAGUCCCAGACGGCUUUUUUCCCUCACGGGGGAUGACUGCUUCCAAGUUGGCAAGGUGGCCUAUGACAUGGGAGAUUACUACCAUGCCAUUCCAUGGCUGGAGGAGGCUGUCAGUCUCUUCCGAGGCUCUUAUGGAGAAUGGAAGACAGAGGAUGAGGCAAGUCUAGAGGAUGCCUUGGAUCACUUGGCCUUCGCCUAUUUCCAGGUGGGAAAUAUUUCCUGUGCCCUCAGCCUCUCCCGAGAGUUUCUUCUGUACAGCCCAGAUAAUAAGAGGAUGGCCAGGAAUGUCUUGAAAUACGAAAAGCUCUUGGCAGAAAGCCCUAACCAGGCCAUAGCUGAGGCUGUCAUCCAGAGGCCCAACGUACCCCACCUGCAGACCAGGGACACCUAUGAGGAGUUAUGUCAGACCCUGGGUUCCCAGCCUACUCACUACCAGAUCCCCAGUCUCUACUGCUCCUAUGAGACCAGUUCCAGUCCCUACCUGCUGCUCCAGCCUGUCCGGAAAGAGGUCAUCCACCUGGAACCCUAUGUUGUUCUCUACCAUGACUUUGUCAGUGACACUGAGGCUCAGAAAAUUAGAGGCCUUGCAGAACCAUGGCUACAGAGAUCUGUGGUGGCAUCAGGCGAAAAGCAGUUACCAGUGGAGUACCGCAUCAGCAAAAGUGCCUGGCUAAAGGACACCGUUGACCCAGUGCUGGUGACCCUCGACCAUCGCAUUGCCUCCCUUACAGGCCUUGAUGUCCAGCCUCCAUACGCAGAGUAUCUCCAGGUGGUAAACUACGGAAUCGGAGGGCACUAUGAGCCUCACUUUGACCAUGCUACGUCACCAACCAGCCCACUGUACAGAAUGAACUCUGGGAACCGAGUCGCAACAUUUAUGAUCUACCUGAGCUCGGUGGAAGCUGGAGGAGCCACAGCCUUCAUCUACGGCAACUUUAGCGUGCCUGUGGUCAAGAAUGCAGCACUAUUUUGGUGGAACCUGCAUAGGAGUGGUGAAGGGGAUGGUGACACACUUCAUGCUGGCUGUCCUGUCCUGGUAGGAGAUAAGUGGGUGGCCAACAAGUGGAUACACGAGUAUGGACAGGAAUUCCGCAGACCUUGCAGCUCAAGCCCUGAAGACUAAAAUGUUGGCAGAGAGAAGCUGGAAGAGUCCUUUGGCUUUCCAGAGAAGCCAGAAGCCAAAAGCUAUGAGUCCACUGGAGGCUUGGCACAGAAUAACUGCUCAGGUUUGCUUAAUCAGCAAAUAAAUGUUCAUAACUGCAGGUUUAGAAGAGGAUAACACCACAAGUCAUGCCCAACUCUCCUCAUGCCUUUGAGUCUUCUCAAUCUCAAGAUUCUCCGCCCUCAACAUUAGAUCUGUGUCUACCCAUUUGCCUACCUUCUCCUUUCGGACAUUUCUCCUUGGACAUUCCUUAAAGUGUGUGUCUGACAGAACAGCCCCUGGUUUGACCGAAAUAUGUUCUAGAAACGAAAUAUGUUCCUUCUGGCUUUGUAGAACUCCUUCACUCAAAGGGUCCAAGGGUCUCCUUUAUUUUCUUCCUGAGUAUGGAGUGCUGAUCUGUAGGCUUCACAAGGAUGUUGUUACAUCCAGAACAUAGCAGGUGCUCCUUAAAGAUACGUUAUGUGAACAUAUGAAUGGUCCCUUCUCUGCUGGGGUAUAGUGGACCACUCAAAGAUGCUGCCAUCUCCUAGCCAUGUCUGUGGGCAAGUCAUUUCACAUCUCUGAAAUUCAAUUUCCUUGCCUUAGAGGGGGGAGAUAUGGGGAUAUAUGUAUAUGUAUAAAUGAUUCACUUUGUUACAAAGCAGAAACUAACACACCAUUGUAAAGCAAUUAUACUCCAAUAAAGAUGUUUA